rnacentral:rRNA from 1 species
GGCGGGACACGUGGUAUCCUGUCUGAAUAUGGGGGGACCAUCCUCCAAGGCUAAAUACUCCUGACUGACCGAUAGUGAACCAGUACCGUGAGGGAAAGGCGAAAAGAACCCCGGCGAGGGGAGUGAAAAAGAACCUGAAACCGUGUACGUACAAGCAGUGGGAGCACGCUUAGGCGUGUGACUGCGUACCUUUUGUAUAAUGGGUCAGCGACUUAUAUUCUGUAGCAAGGUUAACCGAAUAGGGGAGCCGAAGGGAAACCGAGUCUUAACUGGGCGUUAAGUUGCAGGGUAUAGACCCGAAACCCGGUGAUCUAGCCAUGGGCAGGUUGAAGGUUGGGUAACACUAACUGGAGGACCGAACCGACUAAUGUUGAAAAAUUAGCGGAUGACUUGUGGCUGGGGGUGAAAGGCCAAUCAAACCGGGAGAUAGCUGGUUCUCCCCGAAAGCUAUUUAGGUAGCGCCUCGUGAAUUCAUCUCCGGGGGUAGAGCACUGUUUCGGCAAGGGGGUCAUCCCGACUUACCAACCCGAUGCAAACUGCGAAUACCGGAGAAUGUUAUCACGGGAGACACACGGCGGGUGCUAACGUCCGUCGUGAAGAGGGAAACAACCCAGACCGCCAGCUAAGGUCCCAAAGUCAUGGUUAAGUGGGAAACGAUGUGGGAAGGCCCAGACAGCCAGGAUGUUGGCUUAGAAGCAGCCAUCAUUUAAAGAAAGCGUAAUAGCUCACUGGUCGAGUCGGCCUGCGCGGAAGAUGUAACGGGGCUAAACCAUGCACCGAAGCUGCGGCAGCGACGCUUAUGCGUUGUUGGGUAGGGGAGCGUUCUGUAAGCCUGCGAAGGUGUGCUGUGAGGCAUGCUGGAGGUAUCAGAAGUGCGAAUGCUGACAUAAGUAACGAUAAAGCGGGUGAAAAGCCCGCUCGCCGGAAGACCAAGGGUUCCUGUCCAACGUUAAUCGGGGCAGGGUGAGUCGACCCCUAAGGCGAGGCCGAAAGGCGUAGUCGAUGGGAAACAGGUUAAUAUUCCUGUACUUGGUGUUACUGCGAAGGGGGGACGGAGAAGGCUAUGUUGGCCGGGCGACGGUUGUCCCGGUUUAAGCGUGUAGGCUGGUUUUCCAGGCAAAUCCGGAAAAUCAAGGCUGAGGCGUGAUGACGAGGCACUACGGUGCUGAAGCAACAAAUGCCCUGCUUCCAGGAAAAGCCUCUAAGCAUCAGGUAACAUCAAAUCGUACCCCAAACCGACACAGGUGGUCAGGUAGAGAAUACCAAGGCGCUUGAGAGAACUCGGGUGAAGGAACUAGGCAAAAUGGUGCCGUAACUUCGGGAGAAGGCACGCUGAUAUGUAGGUGAAGUCCCUCGCGGAUGGAGCUGAAAUCAGUCGAAGAUACCAGCUGGCUGCAACUGUUUAUUAAAAACACAGCACUGUGCAAACACGAAAGUGGACGUAUACGGUGUGACGCCUGCCCGGUGCCGGAAGGUUAAUUGAUGGGGUCAGCGCAAGCGAAGCUCUUGAUCGAAGCCCCGGUAAACGGCGGCCGUAACUAUAACGGUCCUAAGGUAGCGAAAUUCCUUGUCGGGUAAGUUCCGACCUGCACGAAUGGCGUAAUGAUGGCCAGGCUGUCUCCACCCGAGACUCAGUGAAAUUGAACUCGCUGUGAAGAUGCAGUGUACCCGCGGCAAGACGGAAAGACCCCGUGAACCUUUACUAUAGCUUGACACUGAACAUUGAGCCUUGAUGUGUAGGAUAGGUGGGAGGCUUUGAAGUGUGGACGCCAGUCUGCAUGGAGCCGACCUUGAAAUACCACCCUUUAAUGUUUGAUGUUCUAACGUUGACCCGUAAUCCGGGUUGCGGACAGUGUCUGGUGGGUAGUUUGACUGGGGCGGUCUCCUCCUAAAGAGUAACGGAGGAGCACGAAGGUUGGCUAAUCCUGGUCGGACAUCAGGAGGUUAGUGCAAUGGCAUAAGCCAGCUUGACUGCGAGCGUGACGGCGCGAGCAGGUGCGAAAGCAGGUCAUAGUGAUCCGGUGGUUCUGAAUGGAAGGGCCAUCGCUCAACGGAUAAAAGGUACUCCGGGGAUAACAGGCUGAUACCGCCCAAGAGUUCAUAUCGACGGCGGUGUUUGGCACCUCGAUGUCGGCUCAUCACAUCCUGGGGCUGAAGUAGGUCCCAAGGGUAUGGCUGUUCGCCAUUUAAAGUGGUACGCGAGCUGGGUUUAGAACGUCGUGAGACAGUUCGGUCCCUAUCUGCCGUGGGCGCUGGAGAACUGAGGGGGGCUGCUCCUAGUACGAGAGGACCGGAGUGGACGCAUCACUGGUGUUCGGGUUGUCAUGCCAAUGGCACUGCCCGGUAGCUAAAUGCGGAAGAGAUAAGUGCUGAAAGCAUCUAAGCACGAAACUUGCCCCGAGAUGAGUUCUCCCUGACUCCUUGAGAGUCCUGAAGGAACGUUGA